GAUGAAGAACGUAGCGAAAUGCGAUAAGUAAUGCGAAUUGCAGAAUCCGUGAGUCAUCGAAUCUUUGAACGCACAUUGCGCCCUGUGGUAUUCCGCAGGGCAUGCCUGUUCGAGCGUCAUUUCAACCCUCAAGCUCUGCUUGGUGUUGGGCCCUGCCCGCUGCGGCCGGCCCUAAAGACAGUGGCGGUGCCGCCUGGCCCUGAGCGUAGUACAUCUCUCGCUCCAGUGCCCGGUGGUAGCCUGCCAGAACCCCAACUCUCGUGGUUGACCUCGGAUCAGGUAGGGAUACCCGCUGAACUUAAGCAUAUCAAUAAGCGGAGGA
rnacentral:misc_RNA from 1 species